rnacentral:rRNA from 1 species
UACAGAGGGUGCAAGCGUUAAUCGGAAUUACUGGGCGUAAAGCGCGCGUAGGUGGUUCGUUAAGUUGGAUGUGAAAUCCCCGGGCUCAACCUGGGAACUGCAUUCAAAACUGUCGAGCUAGAGUAUGGUAGAGGGUGGUGGAAUUUCCGGUGUAGCGGUGAAAUGCGUAGAUAUAGGAAGGAACACCAGUGGCGAAGGCGACCACCUGGACUGAUACUGACACUGAGGUGCGAAAGCGUGGGGAGCAAACAGG